rnacentral:rRNA from 1 species
ACUCCUACGGGAGGCAGCAGUGGGAAUAUUGGACAAUGGGCGAAAGCCUGAUCCAGCCAUGCCGCGUGGGUGAAGAAGGCCCUAGGGUUGUAAACCCUUUCAGUCGGGGAAGGAUAAUGACGGUACCCGCAGAAGAAGCCCCGGCUAACUCCGUGCCAGCAGCCGCGGUAAUACGGAGGGGCUAGCGUUGUUCGGAAUUACUGGGCGUAAAGCGCGCGUAGCGGACUUUCAAGUCAGGGGUGAAAUCCCGAGGCUCAACCUCGGAACUGCCUUUGAUACUGUAAGUCUUGAGUCCGAGAGAGGUGAGUGGAAUUCCUAGUGUAGAGGUGAAAUUCGUAGAUAUUAGGAAGAACACCAGUGGCGAAGGCGGCUCACUGGCUCGGUACUGACGCUGAGGCGCGAAAGCGUGGGGAGCAAACAGGAUUAGAUACCCUGGUAGGCUCUGC